rnacentral:rRNA from 1 species
UACGUAGGGGGCGAGCGUUAUCCGGAUUCAUUGGGCGUAAAGCGCGCGUAGGCGGCGCGCCAAGCGGAACCUCUAACCUCGGGGCUCAACCUCGAGCCGGGUUCCGAACUGGCGCGCUCGAGUUCGGUAGAGGCAGGCGGAAUUCCCGGUGUAGCGGUGGAAUGCGCAGAUAUCGGGAAGAACACCGAUGGCGAAGGCAGCCUGCUGGGCCGACACUGACGCUGAGGUGCGAAAGCUAGGGGAGCGAACAGG